rnacentral:rRNA from 1 species
UAGGGAAUCUUGGACAAUGGGGGAAACCCUGAUCCAGCCAUGCCGCGUGGAUGAUGAAGGCCUUAGGGUUGUAAAAUCCUUUCGCUAGGGAAGAUAAUGACGGUACCUAGUAAAGAAGCCCCGGCUAAUUUCGUGCCAGCAGCCGCGGUAAUACGAAAGGGGCUAGCGUUGUUCGGAAUUACUGGGCGUAGAGCGCGUGUAGGCGGAUCAGUUAGUUGGGGGUGAAAGCCCGGGGCUCAACUCCGGAAUUGCCUCCAAUACUGCUGGUCUUGAGUUUGGGAGAGGUGAGCGGAAUUCCGAGUGUAGAGGUGAAAUUCGUAGAUAUUCGGAGGAACACCAGAGGCGAAGGCGGCUCACUGGACCAAUACUGACGCUGAGACGCGAAAGCGUGGGGAGCAAACAGGAUUAGAUACCCCCGUAGUCC